AUUGAACGCUGGCGGCAGGCUUAACACAUGCAAGUCGAGCGGGGGGAGGUAGCUUGCUACCGGACCUAGCGGCGGACGGGGGAGUAAUGCUUAGGAAUCUGCCUAUUAGUGGGGGACAACAUCUCGAAAGGGAUGCUAAUACCGCAUACGUCCUACGGGAGAAAGCAGGGGAUCUUCGGACCUUGCGCUAAUAGAUGAGCCUAAGUCGGAUUAGCUAGUUGGGGGGGUAAAGGCCUACCAAGGCGACGAUCUGUAGCGGGUCUGAGAGGAUGAUCCGCAACACUGGGACUGAGACACGGCCCAGACUCCUACGGGAGGCAGCAGUGGGGAAUAUUGGACAAUGGGGGGAACCCUGAUCCAGCCAUGCCGCGUGUGUGAAGAAGGCCUUAUGGUUGUAAAGCACUUUAAGCGAGGAGGAGGCUACUUUAGUUAAUACCUAGAGAUAGUGGACGUUACUCGCAGAAUAAGCACCGGCUAACUCUGUGCCAGCAGCCGCGGUAA
rnacentral:rRNA from 1 species